CUUCAACUUCAACGGCGAAGAAUCUUAGAGCGGCGAAGUCAUUUGUUAACUCAAAUUGAAGAUGUUCGUCGUACCCGAGCUUUGCAACGAGCUGCUCGUAGGAGACAUGGGGGAUUGCAUGGUCAAGGUUUAGCCACUGUUGCUGUUGUAGGGUACACAAAUGCUGGAAAAUCUACGCUAGUUAGUUCACUGUCUGGCAUUGACCUGUAUAGAGAUCCACGGUAUUUCUAUGCCUAAGAAUUUGUUUUUUGAUCUUUAUUCCUUAU